UGCCCUAUAGCUCAGUGGGUUGAGCAGGCGCCUCAGUCCUCGGUUGGCCCAGGUUCGAAUCCUGGAUUGAGUGG